rnacentral:rRNA from 1 species
GAUGAACGCUGGCGGCGUGCUUAACACAUGCAAGUCGAACGAAGCAUUUAGGACAGAUUACUUCGGUUUGAAGUUCUUUAUGACUGAGUGGCGGACGGGUGAGUAACGCGUGGGUAGCCUGCCUUGUACUGGGGGAUAGCAGCUGGAAACGGCUGGUAAUACCGCAUAAGCGCACAAUGUUGCAUGACAUGGUGUGAAAAACUCCGGUGGUAUAAGAUGGACCCGCGUCUGAUUAGCUAGUUGGUGAGAUAACAGCCCACCAAGGCGACGAUCAGUAGCCGACCUGAGAGGGUGACCGGCCACAUUGGGACUGAGACACGGCCCAGACUCCUACGGGAGGCAGCAGUGGGGAAUAUUGCACAAUGGAGGAAACUCUGAUGCAGCGACGCCGCGUGAGUGAAGAAGUAAUUCGUUAUGUAAAGCUCUAUCAGCAGGGAAGAUAGUGACGGUACCUGACUAAGAAGCUCCGGCUAAAUACGUG